AUGAUGAUGUCACUGAGUCCACUGCUGCUCACCCUGGGCCUCCUUGUUCACGGUUCAUCAGGAGACAUCGUCCUGACUCAGACUUCUGGAUCUCAGUCUGUAGCUCCAGGACAGACUGUCUCCAUCACCUGUAGAACAAGCUCAGAUGUUGGCGGCUACCUCGCCUGGUAUCUUCAGAAACCUGCUGAAGCUCCUAAACUCCUUAUUUAUGCCGCUUCGUCCCGUUGGUCUGGAGUUCCAGAUUGCUUCAGUGGACAAGGGUCAGGGACACAGUUCACUCUCCAUCAGCAGAGUCCAGCCUGAAGAUGCAGGAGUUUAUUAUUGUCAGCAGGGUAUCAGUUACCCGCUCACACAGUGA